rnacentral:rRNA from 1 species
AUGAACGCUGGCGGCGUGCCUAAUACAUGCAAGUCGAGCGAACGGACGAGAAGCUUGCUUCUCUGAUGUUAGCGGCGGACGGGUGAGUAACACGUGGAUAACCUACUUAUAAGACUGGGAUAACUUCGGGAAACCGUAGCUAAUACCGGAUAAUAUUUUGAACCGCAUGGUUCAAAAGUGAAAGACGGUCUUGCUGUCACUUAUAGAUGGAUCCGCGCUGCAUUAGCUAGUUGGUAAGGUAACGGCUUACCAAGGCAACGAUGCAUAGCCGACCUGAGAGGGUGAUCGGCCACACUGGAACUGAGACACGGUCCAGACUCCUACGGGAGGCAGCAGUAGGGAAUCUUCCGCAAUGGGCGAAAGCCUGACGGAGCAACGCCGCGUGAGUGAUGAAGGUCUUCGGAUCGUAAAACUCUGUUAUUAGGGAAGAACAUAUGUGUAAGUAACUGUGCACAUCUUGACGGUACCUAAUCAGAAAGCCACGGCUAACUACGUG